UGGGGAAUCUUGGACAAUGGGCGCAAGCCUGAUCCAGCCAUGCCGCGUGGAUGAUGAAGGCCUUAGGGUUGUAAAAUCCUUUCGUUGGGGACGAUAAUGACGGUACCCAAAGAAGAAGCUCCGGCUAACUUCGUGCCAGCAGCCGCGGUAAUACGAAGGGGGCUAGCGUUGUUCGGAUUUACUGGGCGUAAAGCGCGUGUAGGCGGAUUUGUAAGUUGGGGGUGAAAUCCCGAGGCUCAACCUCGGAACUGCCUCCAAAACUACAAGUCUGGACCUAAGUAGAGGCAAGUGGAAUUGCGAGUGUAGAGGUGAAAUUCGUAGAUAUUCGCAGGAACACCAGUGGCGAAGGCGACUUGCUGGACUUAUGGUGACGCUGAGACGCGAAAGCGUGGGGAGCAAACAGGAUUAGAUACCCCAGUAGUCCCUGAGCGGGCUGGCAAGGCGC
rnacentral:rRNA from 1 species